CUAGGGUUUCGGGCGCCUCCCGUGUUCUUGCCCCCCUCUCUCUCGCGCGACCUCUCUGCCCCUGCCUCCGGUCUACCUCGCCGCCGCUGCCGCCAGAGGUAGCUCCCCCUCCCUUCCUUCCCCUUCCUCCUCCGCCCGCCCUUCUCUCUCCUGCUUCCUCCCGGCGGCCGAUGAUGGGCGCAGACGAGGAGGAGCACCAGUCCCCCUCGUGGAAGCGCGAGCGCGAGGAGGAGGAGGAGCCCGCGGCCGCCGACAAGAAGCGCCGGCGCACGGCGGACGAGUCGGAGGGCGCCUCGCUGAUGGGGCUUGCCAACUACGCGGACGAGGAGGAGGAGGAGCGCGGGGCCCCGAGGGGGCACGGGAACGGCGGGCCCUGGGAGGAGGAGGAAGACGAUGAGGAUGAGGAGGAGGACGAGAGGAGGGCUCCGGAGAGGCGGCCCAGGCAGGUCGAGCUGCCCCUACCUCGACACUGUCAACCGACUAGCUUCGAUCUACCAUGUCCUUAGCGGCAGCAACAGAAUGUCUGAAGAAGCAUCUGCCAGUAUCAGUGCCAGAGGGACUGAACGAACUUCAAAUCAUCGUUGUGCGAUUCAAAGAGAAGAUUUAUACUACAGCGACCAGUCAGGUAAUUUAAUCCGUCUUGGCGGCUACUCGAAGCAGAGCACAGUUUAUUUUAUUUUUAGUUAUGGGGGUCAAACAAGGUUUAUGGGCUAAUAAUAGAGCAGAACUGUCUCCAAAUGUUGUAGAGGAUACUUUUUAAGUCAUGUUUAGUACCAUGUAUAACUAUGAUUCAAAUGUUAAAAGCUGAAGCACCUGCUCGAGCAUGCUAAAUUGCUAAUCAGCCAGAACUAUUGGUUGCAAGCCACCAUUAGUAAUUUGGUCCCAGGCGGUGGUCAUUGCGAUGACACACAUCAGGUCAGCUAAUUGCUUUUAUUUCUUUCAACCAGUAGUACGUAGCAGCUAUGGAGUGAGAUGUGCUAAUUAAUUUGUACCACCGUACGCUUACAGAGUUCCCCUUUCUUUUCUUUUUAUGUGUAACAGCCCAGAUGAUGUGCUUUACACUUACAACUCGUGCUGACUGAAUCGGAGCAAGCCUCCUGCCAGUUCCACCAUGUAACACUCUGCAGAGUUUCACAUCUAAGGUUGUCGAAAUAAGAUAGUGCUCUGUAGUGCAUUCCGAUUCAGCUGGGUACCCAGGAGCCCCACCAAUCUGCAGUAAUUAUUCAUCCCAUUGUCGGCAAUUACAAGAUGGGACCCAACUUCAAGAGAGGCCAAAUGGUUUCUCCAUACGGCGGAAUAUCACGAGUACAGAGUAUAUACACAUGUGCAAAGCUCAGGCAGAAUCAGUGGCUGGGACUGGGAGAUGAUCGUCGUUCCAAGUAGCCUCUUGGAUGGUCGUCGGUUCUGGUGGUGAUGCCGAUGAUCGUCCAGAGGUUCGUGGACUGGACGGUGUCAUGGCUGCUGAUGUACGGAGAGGCGAAGCUGCUGCUCGUCAUCUACCUCUGGCACCCCAGCACACGGGGUGCGGGGCACGUGUACGAUGGCUUCCUCCAUCCGCUGGUGGCGUGGCACGAGGCCGACAUCGACCGGGGCCUGCUUGAGCUGAGGGCGAGGGACGUGACAGCGUCACAACUCAAGGCGGUGGCUGCCAUCGGUCAAGUGUGGCUCGUCGAGGCUGCCCGCUGUGUUCCGUCGCAGCUACAGGCCACGAGAUCAGGCCGUGAAGGCGCCACGCAUUGACGAGUUAGCCGAUUUUUGGAUCGGACCGUAACAACGUGUCUCAGUCGAGAAGUAGUGGUAAAGUUUUGAAUUUGCAUGGCAAGAACCACUUGCGUAUGUAGCUGACAUGCACAACACUGUGUUUACAGUCGUACUUAUGUAAAAGAUAUGUUCAAUGAGGAACUGUGAUAGUAGAUACGACAA